rnacentral:rRNA from 1 species
CGUAAAGAGCUCGUAGGUGGUUUGUCGCGUUGUUCGUGAAAUCUCACGGCUUAACUGUGAGCGUGCGGGCGAUACGGGCAGACUUGAGUACUGCAGGGGAGACUGGAAUUCCUGGUGUAGCGGUGGAAUGCGCAGAUAUCAGGAGGAACACCGGUGGCGAAGGCGGGUCUCUGGGCAGUAACUGACGCUGAGGAGCGAAAGCGUGGGGAGCGAACAGGAUUAGAUACCCUGGUAGUCCACGCCGUAAACGGUGGGUACUAGGUGUGGGUUUCCUUCCUUGGGAUCCGUGCCGUAGCUAACGCAUUAAGUACCCCGCCUGGGGAGUACGGCCGCAAGGCUAAAACUCAAAGAAAUUGACGGGGGCCCGCACAAGCGGCGGAGCAUGUGGAUUAAUUCGAUGCAACGCGAAGAACCUUACCUGGGUUUGACAUGCACAGGACGCCGGCAGAGAUGUCGGUUCCCUUGUGGCCUGUGUGCAGGUGGUGCAUGGCUGUCGUCAGCUCGUGUCGUGAGAUGUUGGGUUAAGUCCCGCAACGAGCGCAACCCUUGUCUCAUGUUGCCAGCGGGUAAUGCCGGGGACUCGUGAGAGACUGCCGGGGUCAACUCGGAGGAAGGUGGGGAUGACGUCAAGUCAUCAUGCCCCUUAUGUCCAGGGCUUCACACAUGCUACAAUGGCCGGUACAAAGGGCUGCGAUGCCGCGAGGUUAAGCGAAUCCUUUUAAAGCCGGUCUCAGUUCGGAUCGGGGUCUGCAACUCGACCCCGUGAAGUCGGAGUCGCUAGUAAUCGCAGAUCAGCAAC